rnacentral:misc_RNA from 1 species
GGACUCUGCAAAAUCUUCAAUGCAUGGAAACUCGUUCCAAAGGAAACUUACAAUAGUCAGAAGCGGGGGCACUCCUGCUGUAGAUAAACCAAAGCGAAGAACACCAGUAUCAUAUGGUGGGAGGUCUGCGGUGCCAGACAAAUCACAGCGCUCUAGGAGCAUGUCCUUUAGUCCUGAAAGGGUCCGUGUAAGGGGGAGGUCUCCUGCUUUCAAUGCAUUGGCUGCUAACUUCGAGAACCCUAGUUCAAGAAACCUUUCUACUCCACCCCCAGUUGUUAGAAAGAUCUAUCCAAAAUCAAUGAGCCCAGAUUCAGCAAAAUUAGCUACUGCGAAAUCUACAUCGAUAGCAGCCCUUAGUGCUAGCUUUGAACAGCCAC